rnacentral:rRNA from 1 species
GUGCCAGCCGCCGCGGUAAUACGUAGGUGGCGAGCGUUAUCCGGAAUUAUUGGGCGUAAAGCGCGCGUAGGCGGUUUUUUAAGUCUGAUGUGAAAGCCCACGGCUCAACCGUGGAGGGUCAUUGGAAACUGGAAAACUUGAGUGCAGAAGAGGAAAGUGGAAUUCCAUGUGUAGCGGUGAAAUGCGCAGAGAUAUGGAGGAACACCAGUGGCGAAGGCGACUUUCUGGUCUGUAACUGACGCUGAUGUGCGAAAGCGUGGGGAUCAAACAGGAUUAGAAACCCCCGUAGUCC